ensembl:lncRNA
AGUAAAUGUUACAGGAAGCAGUUUGUGGAGGUUUAUGUGCCAUGGAUGAGAAGCACAGGCCAAUCGUUUGCGUGCCCAUAACCUCACUAUUGUCUGGAAGUCACCUCUAUUUUGGUAUACCAGCAUUAUUUGAUAUCUACCCCCAAAGGAUUUUAAAUGAUAAUGUAUGGAAUGUUCUAGAGAUGAGCACGUGCAUGUCAGUAUUGUAGAAGCAACUUGUACGUCUGCACUUGGCAACGCGAAGGUCAGGACAGAAACAGCAAGCAGGAUGCAUGCAGGUCAGGCCUGAGGUAUGUUAAAACAGUCAUGUCUGCACAAUCUGUGUUGCAACUUUUCUUACCCACAGUCACUGAAAUAGCAUUCCCUAACUGAAGUUUCUUCACAGAACGUCUUACAAGCUGUCAGUAGACAAACACACAGUGCCAGUUUCACGUUUUUAAUGAAAUCAAAUUGAACAUAAUAACAUCAAUUAAACACUUUGGAAGGUUAUACUGUAAUGAACAGCAGCACUCUGGAGUAGUAAAAUAAAAAGCUCAGAAGGAACAUCACUAUAAUAUUCCAUUGUAUUAAAUUGGAACAGCUUAGAUUGGAGUCGUGGUUGUUCUGCAGUUAAUUUCUGUGUAGGAAAUAGGUUAAUAUUUCAG